UACGAAGGGGGCUAGCGUUGCUCGGAAUUACUGGGCGCAAAGCGCACGUAGGCGGCUCUUUAAGUCGGGGGUGAAAUCCUGGAGCUCAACUCCAGAACUGCCUUCGAUACUGUAGAGCUUGAGUUCGGGAGAGGUGAGUGGAACUGCGAGUGUAGAGGUGAAAUUCGUAGAUAUUCGCAAGAACACCAGUGGCGAAGGCGGCUCACUGGCCCGAUACUGACGCUGAGGUGCGAAAGCGUGGGGAGCAAACAGG
rnacentral:rRNA from 1 species